CCAGUGACUUGUCAGGUCCCAAAGAAAUUAAAAAAGGAAAAGUCCAGAUGGUGACAUUUGUGGUGAAAAAGAAAAGUGUCUUUUUCAGUCAAGCUGCCUUCCAAUUAUUUAAAUUUAUACAGAUUUUAUUUAUUUAUUUGCCAUUUUCUCUUAGAGAAGGAGAAAGUUCUGGGCCUGGAAAGGGGCUACUCUCACCCAUGGCAUGGCUGGCCCUCAGCUGCCUCUGGCUGGAGCAACUGCUUUACAGUGGGUAG
rnacentral:lncRNA from 1 species